rnacentral:rRNA from 1 species
GACGAACGCUGGCGGCGUGCUUAACACAUGCAAGUCGAACGGAAAGGCCCUGCUUUUGUGGGGUGCUCGAGUGGCGAACGGGUGAGUAACACGUGAGUAACCUGCCCUUGACUUUGGGAUAACUUCAGGAAACUGGGGCUAAUACCGGAUAGGAGCUCCUGCUGCAUGGUGGGGGUUGGAAAGUUUCGGCGGUUGGGGAUGGACUCGCGGCUUAUCAGCUUGUUGGUGGGGUAGUGGCUUACCAAGGCUUUGACGGGUAGCCGGCCUGAGAGGGUGACCGGCCACAUUGGGACUGAGAUACGGCCCAGACUCGAACGGGAGGCAGCAGUGGGGAAUAUUGCACAAUGGGCGGAAGCCUGAUGCAGCAACGCCGCGUGCGGGAUGACGGCCUUCGGGUUGUAAACCGCUUUCGCCUGUGACGAAGCGUGAGUGACGGUAAUGGGUAAAGAAGCACCGGCUAACUACGUG